rnacentral:rRNA from 1 species
GUCUUUAAAAUUAAAAAUUUUGGCGGUAUUUUAGUCUUUUCAGAGGAACCUGUCCUAUAAUUGAUAUUCCACGAUAAGUUAUACUUUAUUUUUAAAUUUAUAUAUCGUCGUAGUUUGAAUAUUUUAUUAUUAAAUGUUUUCAGAUCAAGGUGUAGUUUAUAAUAAAGUAAGAAUGGGUUACAAUAAAAAUAUAAAUUAAAUUGGAUUUGAAAGUAAGCUCUAAAAUAUGCACAUAUCGCCCGUCGCUUUCGUUUUAAAAUGGAAUAAGUCGUAACAAAGUAGGCUUAUUGGAAAAUGUGCCUAGAAAGCAAAUUAGAGCUUGAUAAGUAUUUUAUUUACAUUAAAAAGUUAAUUGUUAAAUUCAAUUUAAUUUGAAUUUUAUAAUUUAUUUAAAAUUUGAGUUAAAUUUAUUAAAAAUUUAUUUAUUUUAUUAUUUUAAUGAAAAAAUUUUAUUAUAGUUAAUAGUACUGUGAAGUAAAAUGUUGUUAUAUUUAAAAGAAAAAUUUAAUUUUUGUACCUUGUGUGUCAGGGUUUAUCAAUUUAAUAUUCUCGAAAUUAAAAGAGCUAAUUUUAUUGUGAAAUAAAUAUUUAAAAUUUAUUAUUAGUAAUGAAACGUUAUUCGUUUUUAAUUAUAUCUAGUUUUUUAAGAAAUAAAUUUAAUUUAUAUAUUAAUUAUUAUUUUUAUAGGGGAUAAGCUUUAAAAUAAAUUUUUAUAAAUAAUUUUUAUAUUAAAAGUUAUAGGAUUAGAAUUUUCUAUUAAUAAAAAAAUGUUAUAAUUAAUUAUUUUAAAUUUUUUAUUAAAAUAAUAAUUUUAAUUUUUAUUAUUAAGUAAUAAUGAUAAAAUUAGUAAGUUAAUAUUAAGGAAUUCGGCAAAUUAUUUUUUUACCUGUUUAUUAAAAACAUGGCUUUUUGUUAAUAAUUUAAAGUCUGACCUGCCCAGUGAUUUAACGGCCGCAGUAUUUUGACUGUGCAAAGGUAGCAUAAUCAUUAGUUUUUUAAAUGGAAGCUGGAAUGAAUGGUUUUAUAAGAAAAAAGCUGUCUCUAAAAUUUUAUUUUUAAGUUAAAAAGCUUAAAUUAUAUAAAUAGACGAGAAGACCCUAUAGAGUUUUUUUAUUGGGGUGAUAUAAAAAUUUAAUUAACUUUUUAUUUUUAUGAAUUAUUGAUCCUAGAUUAUAAGAAAAAAUUACCUUAGGGAUAACAGCGUAAUUUUUUUUUAGAGUUCUUAUUG